CGGGACGUGGUGUAUCGAGCACCGCUGCAUUGAAUGAUUUAAUGGCUCGGUGACUGUGCAUGCAGCAGGCCGGGGUUCGACUCCCCGCGUCCCGA